AUCACAUGACAUGUACCACCAUUGAAUAUUUUCUUGUAACCGAUCAAUUGUAGCUAUUGUUGUGAACACAAAGUCCUGAAAGUUGAUGAAGAAAAUAUAGCUCUUUAAAGAAUAUGCGGUCACUCAUACAAAUAUGUCAAAUACAUCUGUAGGUAUUGGAGGCUUCUACAAUAUCAUGUCUUAGAAGAGUUUUGAUUCAUUACCUCAUCUGUUGGGUUAUCGUGCCUAAUUCCAGAAAACAUGGUGUUCAUAAGGAGGUUGCAAAGACAUGCAGGGAUGGAAAGAUGUAAACAGACCUCAAGAUUUAAGCUAUAUAUAUUACCCAAACUUGAUGUGUCUGUCGUUUCUUCUUUCGUCCUUCGAUGUGCUGGGUGUCCCGACGUAUGUCGCCCCUUCGAUUUGUGUGGAUAUGUUGUUGUGUGGAUCUCCCUUCAAUGGGUGUUCUGGCAUCUAUUAUUCUGUGGGUGUUCUCGGGUGUCUGCCCCAACCUUUAUAUUAGUCAAAGGUUGCUGAGUUUGAAUUCUGUACGGAUGACUUUUGCAAUAGUAUACGACCGUAUCCUUGACUAA